UAAUUUUUAAGUAUUCCCAAAAAUUUCCCCAAAGUGGGUAGGCUUUGAUAUUGAACUUGAUUGUUCGAGUGCUUUGCCCUCUGUGUGAGCUCCACAGAUUUUCAUUCUAGUCUGAGAUCUCGAACGAUAAACAUAUUUUGGAAAAAAUACAAAAUUCUUUUUGUUUUUUCAAAUCCUACUUCCGUAAACAGGCAAACGUAAAUUAAUUUAAAAACUAAUAUUUUUAAAAAUAUAUAUUCUAUUUUGAUUAUUGCAGAACAAAAACCAAAGAUGUGCAAUCCUUGCUUCCGCUCAAUGCCCGGUACUUGCUGUGGACCAACUGGCGGACUGGGACCCUGUCUUCUGUGCGGACCCUACAAUGGCCAGUGGUUCAAGUCGAUCAACCAUUGCUGCGGCCCGUGCGGACCCUACGGCUGCUGUUCCUGCUAUGGGCCCUAUGGCGGACAUUGUUAGCCUGCUUAGAAGGAAGGUAGGAUCCAACACCGAAGACCAAAAUCAAUCGCGAGACCUUGGAUGAAGAAGAAACUGAAGAGAAAAUUCUGAACAGAGGUGGAGCAAAACAUCUUUUGAAAACAAUCCACAAAAUCAAAGACGAAUGUUAAUAAAUUAUUUGAUGUAUUUUUUCUCAUACAUUUACGAA
rnacentral:lncRNA from 1 species